GCUGUCAAGUCCGUUCUGCUCAUGCGCGUGUUCUGUUUACAUUUUUGUUUCAAACAGUAGAUAAUUAAAUUAAAUUAUCUAUUGCAGUUGUUCGAAAUAAAAAUGUAAACAAAACACGCGCAUGAGCAGAACGGACUUAACAGC